rnacentral:rRNA from 1 species
UACAGGGGGUGCAAACGUUGCUCGGAAUUAUUGGGCGUAAAGCGCGCGUAGGCGGCAACUUAAGUCGGAUGUGAAAGCCCCUGGCUUAACUGGGGAAGUGCACCCGAAACUGAGUCGCUGGAGUACGAAAGAGGGUCGCGGAAUUCCCGGUGUAGAGGUGAAAUUCGUAGAUAUCGGGAGGAACACCGGCGGCGAAGGCGGCGACCUGGGUCGAUACUGACGCUGAGGCGCGAAAGCGUGGGGAGCAAACAGG